UCGGGAAUUUUGCGCAAUGGACGAAAGUCUGACGCAGCAACGCCGCGUGAGGGAUGAAGGCCUUCGGGUUGUAAACCUCUUUUGUCAGGGACGAUGAUGACGGUACCUGACGAAUAAGCCACGGCUAACUACGUGCCAGCAGCCGCGGUAAUACGUAGGUGGCAAGCGUUGUCCGGAUUUACUGGGCGUAAAGAGCGCGCAGGCGGUCGUUCAAGUCGCGUGUGAAAGCCCCCGGCUCAACUGGGGAGGGUCACGCGAUACUGAUCGACUCGAAGGCAGGAGAGGGUAGUGGAAUUCCCGGUGUAGUGGUGAAAUGCGUAGAUAUCGGGAGGAACACCAGUGGCGAAGGCGACUACCUGGCCUGUUUCUUGACGCUGAGGCGCGAAAGCUAGGGGAGCAA
rnacentral:rRNA from 1 species